AGCGCGACUGCCCUUACGGUGGGAGUUCAGGGUCCGGGUGCCAGAUCGCUGCGUCUUCUCCGGUGGCCUCUCAGGGGCCCUGCAUCCCUGAGCUGUCUCUGCGAUUCGCAGGUUGCGGUGCAGUUGACGACGUUGAGGAAGGCCACCAGCCCUGCCCUCGCGGAACUCGUCGAAGAGCCGCGAGGCGUGGGAGCGAGCAGGGAGCGACCGGCGGCCGCCCUGAAGGAAAGCCACGACUGUAACAGCCGUUCCCGCGCUCGGCGCGCGUCCUGACUCGCAAGCAACUGCCCAAGUACGGUAACGGGCGUCACAUC